rnacentral:ncRNA from 1 species
GAUCCUUUGCAGCCGCUUAAUACGUGACGGGGUAUUGUAAGUGGCAGAGUGGCCUUGCUGCCACGAUCCACUGAGAUUCAGCCCUGCGUCGCUCAGAUU